CAUGCUAUAUGGAUCUCUUGACAUCUGCUUAAGCUGUUAUUAUCUCCCUAUCUGUGCCCUGAAAAGUGUCAGGAGCCCAACCAUUCGUUUCACUUACAUUUGAGUGUGAUUCCUUCUUUUUUAGGGCGAUCCUGCUUUACUUCCACACGGUUUAUGCUCAGUGUUGACAGAACCAUUGUUCAAGAGAACAUCCCCUCCUUUGUGUCGUCAAUAUGUAUGAUGUUUGGAAGCCACUACAGCUUCAGCAUCCAUUAUCCAUCCGAGCUGGCAUCCACCCUAGAGUUCCUGCAGAGGUGCUUUUUCUCCAUAAAUCCUGAGAAGGGGACAAAAGUAGAGAAGUCCAGUACCUCCUGUCUACACGUGAACCCCAGAGUCCUCACCUUGAUCCAAGACCUUUCAGAUCAUGAGUGGCGGGACAUCUGAAUAUGGACUCAAAUAUAUCUGUGAAGAUACUCAGUCAUCCAGGUACAUAGCAAUCUGUGGUUGGUAGAAGAGAGCAACUGGACUUGCUUGAAAAGUCUUGAAGACGUUUCGCCUCUCAUCUGAAAGGCAUCCUCAGUUCUGUCUGUCUAAUAGGGAGUAUCCAGUAUUUAUCCUCUCAUGGAUCAUCAUAGAAUCCGAAUCAGAAUGCUGACGGCUGCAUUGUAGGUGGCUGAUAGAUGUCUUAGACCCCCACCUCUGUUCAGUGAUGGUCGUUCCAGGUUGACAAAAAUGAACGAUCCUCUCGUUUUAUGUGUCACAGUUUUCUUGAGGUGGCUUAGUUCUUUUGUUUUAACAGUAAACA